rfam:Cavia porcellus supercont2_97 genomic scaffold, whole genome shotgun sequence.
UAAUGUGAGGGUGAUCUGGCUGCUACAUCUAUCACCCCACUGAUAGCCAGGGUGGAACCUCUGAUUUUGCUAGCUAAGUUUGUGUCACCUUCCUCCCUCACCAUGCCUUGUGCAUCCCUCCUGAAGCUGAGCUGGUGGAAGAAGACCACACCCUCCUUCAAGGGUACAGGAGUAGAACCCCCAAACCAGCUGUCAAAUAUAGUCUGGAUAUCAGUACU